rnacentral:rRNA from 1 species
GUGAACCUGCGGAAGGAUCAUUGUUGAGAGAGCAUAAUAAAGUGAUGGAUGGUUGUGAACAUGUGAAUGUGUCGUACCUAAACCCUAUCGCCCCAUCCUCUAUUCCCCCACCCCACCUCUACUAUGGUCGUCGUGGGAUGGAUGGAUGGAUGGAUGGGGCGAAUGGCAACGUAGCUCAGUGCGAUCGGCACUAAGGAACAAUGAAUGAACUCGGAAGCGGAGGGCCCCUCGGCGUGCGUGCACAGGGGGAGCCCAACGCGUCAGAGAUUCCUCGGAAUCAAAUGACUCUCGGCAAUGGAUAUCUCGGCUCUUGCAUCGAUGAAGAACGUAGUGAAAUGCGAUACUUGGUGUGAAUUGCAGAAUCUCGUGAACCAUUGAGUCUUUGAACGCAAGUUGUGCCCGAGGCCUUCUGGCCGAGGGCACGCCUGCUUGGGAGUCAUGGCAUUGCCGCCUUUGCUCCAUGCGAUGCUGGUGCUGAGCGCGUAAAUUGGCCCCGUGUGCCCUCCUCCUCGGGCGGGCACAGUCGGUCGAAGAGCGGGUAGUCCCAAGUCGUCGGGCACGAUGGGUGUUGGUCGCCACGAGCGGGAACCGAACAUCGUCCUCGUCGUUUUGGGCUGAGCCCUCAAGGAAGGAAGAAAGAAGACCCUGUGUGAUUUGAUUGCGGCGGCGGGCGAAAGUGCCGUGUCGUCCGUCCAUCAAUCAACUUGUGGCCCCAAGUC